GGGCCCCACUCAGGGUUCGGGAAGGAAGUGUGAACUUCUGGAGAUAUUGCUUGGUGACUCAGACCAUGGACUGGAGGAAUAAUACACUCUUGCUGCUUUCCCAUGCUUCUCAGAGUCCCCUCUCAUGGGUGGUGUGGUCUGCAGUGAUGUGAUGAGCAGGCAGGACAGAGGUCACACGGUAUCGUCCUGGGUGCUUCCUUUGAGCCAGCAGAUGCUCAGGUGGCCGUUACCGUUGGGGGCAGUAAACAUGACAUUGUCCUCAGUGAAGCCCAGGUACUUUGCAAAGUUGACGAAGUACUGCUUCAGUUCACGGCUCAACUCCUUGGUUCUCGCUGUGGGACAAGAUUGCCAGUGAGUGAACAACAGAGGUACUUUGUAAGUUUUUAAAAAUUUUUGAGACAGGGUGUUGCUGUGUGGUUGAGGCUAGGCUUAAUUUCACAAUGCUCCUGGCUCAGGCUGCUAAAUACCUACAUGACAAGUGUGUGCUCCAAAACCAGUCUGACACCAUCAGUACUGCUGAAGGAGGCUUCAGACCCCUUUCUGGUGGAGGGUUUGUGGAAGUGCCUCCUCCCCGAGGGUUCUCCAAAUGGACAAAACUUUGGGGUUGGGACAAAUGGUUCCUUCCUCAAAGAGUGACCAGGAGCCAGGUCCCUGAGCAGGACGAAGGACUCACCAUACAGGGAUGCCUUGAAGUACUCUGUGUUUCUGAAGGUCUUCUCGAAGAACACAAUGGCUACCUGAUUGUAGUUGGUGGUGGUCACUCUCAUGGUGUAGCUCUGUGUUCCAACAUAAACUGUAACAUGGACAGUGAGGGUCAUCCCUGGCCUGGUCGGCAUGAAGACACUGCUGCCUUCCAACUUGACAGUCAGCAGAGUCUUCUCUCAGUAGGACAGCAUGUAUGUGGAGUAGCAGGGAGACCCUGUCCUUCUGGGAGGAAUCUGCCCCCAAAUCCCAACCCCAGAUGCCCCCUCACUUAGGACUCACGUGUAAUAUUGCCCAGGGUGUACUGGCCAGGAUACACAUUUGGGACAACAGUUCUGGUCCAGUGGUCACAAACAGUGUUCCUGUGGGAAAGACAAAUGACGCAGACUGAGCAGGGAGAUGACAUAGACUUAAACUCCCUGAAUUGGAAGAGGAGGCCCCUGCUUAAACAUGUUUCUCUUGAAGCCCCAGGUCAGCCCAGCCCCAGUCCUGGCCAGACCGUGAAAGCCUUGUCCCUCACUAUGACACAGGCCCCAUGUGCCUCUGGCCAUGGUCCUGGUCCUUCCACUCUGAGCCUCUAACUGCCUGCUCCACCCUCCCUCCAGCACUCAGUGUAUCCUCAGGUGCCUCCCUGAGGCAGCCUUUCCCACACGCAGACCCCAGGCACUGACUCCUGCUCGUAUCUCCUGGCUUCCCUUUCCUGCCUCUCUUUGCAAUUUCCUCUGAGCUUGCAAUGUGUUUCAUGCAGAUUACUGACAUAGUGCUUGAUCCACACCUGACCUCUCCCCUGAAUCUACCCCAUCCCUGCUCCCCAGAGCUAAGCCCUCAAACCUACAUUCCUUGGGUUACUUCACCUUCAAUUGCUCCAACUCCAAAUCCCCCAAUGGACAGCGACAGAGCC
rnacentral:lncRNA from 1 species